GGGUGAGUAACACGUGAGCAACCUGCCCCUGACUCUGGGAUAAGCGCUGGAAACGGCGUCUAAUACUGGAUAUGUGACGUGACCGCAUGGUCUGCGUUUGGAAAGAUUUUUCGGUUGGGGAUGGGCUCGCGGCCUAUCAGCUUGUUGGUGAGGUAAUGGCUCACCAAGGCGUCGACGGGUAGCCGGCCUGAGAGGGUGACCGGCCACACUGGGACUGAGACACGGCCCAGACUCCUACGGGAGGCAGCAGUGGGGAAUAUUGCACAAUGGGCGAAAGCCUGAUGCAGCAACGCCGCGUGAGGGAUGACGGCCUUCGGGUUGUAAACCUCUUUUAGCAGGGAAGAAGCGAAAGUGACGGUACCUGCAGAAAAAGCGCCGGCUAACUACGUGCCAGCAGCCGCGGUAAUACGUAGGGCGCAAGCGUUAUCCGGAAUUAUUGGGCGUAAAGAGCUCGUAGGCGGUUUGUCGCGUCUGCUGUGAAAUCCCGAGGCUCAACCUCGGGCCUGCAGUGGGUACGGGCAGACUAGAGUGCGGUAGGGGAGAUUGGAAUUCCUGGUGUAGCGGUGGAAUGCGCAGAUAUCAGGAGGAACACCGAUGGCGAAGGCAGAUCUCUGGGCCGUAACUGACGCUGAGGAGCGAAAGGGUGGGGAGCAAACAGGCUUAGAUACCCUGGUAGUCCACCCCGUAAACGUUGGGAACUAGUUGUGGGGUCCAUUCCACGGAUUCCGUGACGCAGCUAACGCAUUAAGUUCCCCGCCUGGGGAGUACGGCCGCAAGGCUAAAACUCAAAGGAAUUGACGGGGACCCGCACAAGCGGCGGAGCAUGCGGAUUAAUUCGAUGCAACGCGAAGAACCUUACCAAGGCUUGACAUAUACGAGAACGGGCCAGAAAUGGUCAACUCUUUGGACACUCGUAAACAGGUGGUGCAUGGUUGUCGUCAGCUCGUGUCGUGAGAUGUUGGGUUAAGUCCCGCAACGAGCGCAACCCUCGUUCUAUGUUGCCAGCACGUAAUGGUGGGAACUCAUGGGAUACUGCCGGGGUCAACUCGGAGGAAGGUGGGGAUGACGUCAAAUCAUCAUGCCCCUUA
rnacentral:rRNA from 1 species